CUUGGUGGCUAUUGUGGAAGUGUAACACCCGUUCCCAUCCCGAACACGGAAGUUAAGCCUUCUUACGUCGAUGAUACUGCCCCUCUAAGAGGCGGGAAAGUAGAUAGUUGCCAAGC
rnacentral:rRNA from 1 species